GUGAAGUUUUCGGAUCGCGGCGACGCCGGCGGUUCGCCGCCGGUGACGUUGUGAGAAGUUCAUUAAACCUUAUCAUUUAGAGGAAGGAGAAGUCGUAACAAGGUUUCCGUAGGUGAACCUGCGGAAGGAUCAUUG
rnacentral:rRNA from 1 species